rnacentral:rRNA from 1 species
CCUACGGGGGGCUGCAGUCGAGAAUCAUUCACAAUGGGGGAAACCCUGAUGGUGCGACGCCGCGUGGGGGAAUGAAGGUCUUCGGAUUGUAAACCCCUGUCAUGUGGGAGCAAAUUAAAAAGAUAGUACCACAAGAGGAAGAGCCGGCUAACUCUGUGCCAGCAGCCGCGGUAAUACAGAGGUCUCAAGCGUUGUUCGGAAUCACUGGGCGUAAAGCGUGCGUAGGCUGUUUCGUAAGUCGUGUGUGAAAGGCGCGGGCUCAACCCGCGGACGGCACAUGUUACUGCGAGACUAGAGUAGAGGAGGGGGAACCGGAAUUCGCGGUGUAGCAGUGAAAUGCGUAGAUAUCGAGAGGAACACUCGUGGCGAAGGCGGGUUACUGGACAUUAACUGACGCUGAGGCACGAAGGCCAGGGGAGCGAAAGGGAUUAGAUACCCUGGUAGUC